UUAUGGCCACAUCAAGUUGAAGCACCGGCCCCCAUACUACAGCCGAAGUUAAGCAACGUCGAGCCUGCUUGGUACCCAGAUGGGUGACCGUUUUGGAAUACCAGGUGCUGUAA